CUUGCUUCCGAAGUGAGUGAUACCCUGCUUCCAGGAAAAGCCACUAAGCUUCAGCUUGCAACGACCGUACCGCAAACCGACACUGGUGCGCGAGAUGAGUAUUCUAAGGCGCUUGAGAGAACUCUGGAGAAGGAACUCGGCAAAUUGACACCGUAACUUCGGGAGAAGGUGUGCCUUUAGUAGGUGAAGUCGUACAGACGGAGCCCAAUGAGGCCGCAGAGAAUCGGUGGCUGCGACUGUUUAUUAAAAACACAGCACUCUGCAAAGACGAAAGUCGACGUAUAGGGUGUGACGCCUGCCCGGUGCUGGAAGAUUAAAUGAUGGGGUGCAAGCUCUUGAUUGAAGUCCCAGUAAACGGCGGCCGUAACGAUAACGGUCCUAAGGUAGCGAAAUUCCUUGUCGGGUAAGUUCCGACCUGCACGAAUGGCGUAACGAUGGCCACGCUGUCUCCUCCAGAGACUCAGCGAAGUUGAAAUGUUUGUGAUGAUGCAAUCUCCCCGCGGAAAGACGGAAAGACCCCAUGAACCUUUACUGUAGCUUCACAUUGGACUUUGAACAGAUCUGUGUAGGAUAGGUGGGAGGCUUUGAAGCGAUGCCGCUAGGUGUCGUGGAGCCAACCCUGAAAUACCACCCUGGUGUGUUUGAGGUUCUAACCUUGGCCCGUAAUCCGGGUUGGGGACAGUGUGUGGUGGGCAGUUUGACUGGGGCGGUCUCCUCCCAAAGCGUAACGGAGGAGUUCGAAGGUACGCUAGGCACGGUCGGAAAUCGUGCUGAUAGUGCAUAGGCAUAAGCGUGCUUGACUGCGAGACUGACAAGUCGAGCAGGUACGAAAGUAGGACUAAGUGAUCCGGUGGUUCUGUAUGGAAGGGCCAUCGCUCAACGGAUAAAAGGUACUCUGGGGAUAACAGGCUGAUACCGCCCAAGAGUUCAUAUCGACGGCGGUGUUUGGCACCUCGAUGUCGGCUCAUCUCAUCCUGGGGCUGUAGCCGGUCCCAAGGGUAUGGCUGUUCGCCAUUUAAAGAGGUACGUGAGCUGGGUUUAAAACGUCGUGAGACAGUUUGGUCCCUAUCUUCCGUGGGCGCUGCAAGAUUGAGAGAGCCUGCUCCUAGUACGAGAGGACCGGAGUGGACGCACCUCUGGUGUAUCGGUUGUCACGCCAGUGGCAUUGCCGAGUAGCUAAGUGCGGAAGAGAUAACCGCUGAAAGCAUCUAAGCGGGAAACUCGUCUCAAGAUGAGUCUUGCCGGGGCCUUGAGCCCCCUGAAGAGUCGUUCGAGACCAGGACGUUGAUAGGCCGGGUGUGG
rnacentral:rRNA from 1 species